rnacentral:lncRNA from 1 species
CUUGCCACUCUAUAGAUUUCCUAUUUCCUAUAGUGUGGAUAGGAUUGAGAGGUAUCAUGUUGUGAAUCAUUUCUUUGGAAGUUGGAAUGAAGGACUGAAGCAGUUUUCUUGAUGAUGAGAUUGCCUCUUGAAUCUUAAAUGUCAGAUGGAGCUCUAAUGACGAUGAUGAUAUUCAUUGCUGGAGCAAGGGCUAUGUAUAAUAGCAAGAUUAUUGUGGAGG